rnacentral:rRNA from 1 species
GAUCCUGGCUCAGGAUGAACGCUAGCUACAGGCUUAACACAUGCAAGUCGAGGGGCAGCAUGACCUAGCAAUAGGUUGAUGGCGACCGGCGCACGGGUGAGUAACACGUAUCCAACCUACCGGUUAUUCCGGGAUAGCCUUUCGAAAGAAAGAUUAAUACCGGAUAGUAUAACGAGAAGGCACCUUCUUGUUAUUAAAGAAUUUCGAUAACCGAUGGGGAUGCGUUCCAUUAGUUUGUUGGCGGGGUAACGGCCCACCAAG